CCUCCCACCCUCCACCUCCAGUAGGCCCCAGUGUGUGUUGUUCCCUUCUAUGUGUCCAUGUGUUCUCAUCAUUUAGCUCCCACUUAUAAGUGAGAGCAUGUGAUCUUUGGUUUUCUCUUCCUGCCUUAGUUUGCCAAGGAUGAUCACCAGGAAUGCUUGUGAUUUUUUUCACAUUGAUUAUGUAUCCUGAGCCUUUGCUGAAGUUGCUUAUCAGCUUAAGGAGAUUUUGGGCUGAGACGAUGGGUUUUCUAAAUAUACAAUCAUGUCAUCUGCAAAUAGAGACAAUAUACUUGAAUAUUGAAAUCUCUCUUUAAGUUUGGAAAAUUCUGUUAUUAUCCUUUUUAAUAUAUUUUCUACCCUAAUCUCUCUCUCUACCUCCUCUUUAAGGCUAAUAACCCUUAGAUUUGCCCUUUUGAAGCUAUUUUCCACAUCUGGUAGAUAUGCUUCUUCAUUUUCAUUCUUUUUUCUUUUAACUCCUCU
rnacentral:lncRNA from 10 species